rnacentral:lncRNA from 1 species
GACGAUAGAGGGCGACAGAUAAUUUGCCUAAUUUUUAUCUCCACCGAAAACGGUGCGCUUUUCAAAUUUCCUUGUGAAUUGGGCUUCCUUAACUUGCACAAAUGAGAACUUUUCACAUGUUGUCAGCGGGAAAAUGCCGACUAUUUAAACGAAUCAAUUCUUUUUAUUCGUUAUGAUAUCUCCUAUACAUCUAUAAACUGUAGAUGAAGCGAAGUUUUACCUGGAUUCUGAUUGCCGAUUGCAUGAAAUUGACUCGUCCUUCAUCCUUGUGCCCCACCUGUUAAAAUUGAUAUGGAUAGCGACAACCAAGAAGGAGAUGGAGGAUUAAGACAAGGAGCUUACGGGCCAUCAUGGACAGUGACAACCAAUCAUCACAGUUCUUCGCUGAAGCCAUUGACCAGAUCCUGCAAAGGCAUAUGAAAGUCAUCAAGCACAAGCCUGGAAGGGAUCAUCUUUAGCAAAGGGAAGCUCAAAAAGAGAUUCUGAUCACACCAAAUGACCCAGGUCAAGGUAGUUGAUCCUAUUCUGGUUUUAAGGAAGGCAAAGAGAACGGUCAUUGAGCUAGAAACAGGCAAGACCAAUUGCUUUGGAGGCAUGGAUGAGGUCCUUGACAUGACCUCUGAUGAGAGCGAGUAUGAGCAUCCUACCAAGCCUCAAACACCACCACAUGAAGAUUAAAGAAAAGAGAGAGCCCUCACAGAGACCACCUAAGAAACAGAUGCCCUCUGGAUGGACUCGUCUGGAAUGCUUCAGGAUGGAGAAGGGAUUGUUGACAUUUGGCCAUAUGACAAGGCUGAGAAUCCUGGAAGAGAGACAAACGGAUUCUGACCUGCCAGUUGCAAAACCUGAUGGACCUAUCAACAACGAAACAGAGGAUAAGGAGACGGUUUCAUAUUUGCAAUUGAUUGCAAACUUUAACGUUACACUGCCCAGGGGCCCGUUUCAUA